UACGUAGGUGGCAAGCGUUGUCCGGAUUUACUGGGCGUAAAGAGCGCGCAGGCGGUCGUUCAAGUCGCGUGUGAAAGCCCCCGGCUCAACUGGGGAGGGUCACGCGAUACUGAUCGACUCGAAGGCAGGAGAGGGUAGUGGAAUUCCCGGUGUAGCAGUGAAAUGCGUAGAGAUCGGGAGGAACAUCCGUGGCGAAGGCGACUACCUGGACCAGCACUGACACUGAGGCACGAAAGCGUGGGGAGCAAACAGG
rnacentral:rRNA from 1 species